rnacentral:rRNA from 1 species
AUGCACGCUAGCUACAGGCUUCACACAUGCAAGUCGCGGGGCAGCAUGGGGGUUGCUUGCAACUCCCGAUGGCGACCGGCGCACGGGUGAGUAACGCGUAUCCAACCUGCCCUUCACCACGGGAUAACCCGGCGAAAGUCGGACUAAUACCGUAUGUUGUCCAUUGACGGCAUCCGAUUUGGACGAAAGGCUUUGCGGUGAAGGAUGGGGAUGCGUCCGAUUAGCCAGACGGCGGGGUAACGGCCCACCGUGGCUACGAUCGGUAGGGGUUCUGAGAGGAAGGUCCCCCACACUGGAACUGAGACACGGUCCAGACUCCUACGGGAGGCAGCAGUGAGGAAUAUUGGUCAAUGGGCGUAAGCCUGAACCAGCCAAGUAGCGUGCAGGAUGACGGCCCUAUGGGUUGUAAACUGCUUUUAUGCGGGGAUAAAGUGGCCCACGUGUGGGCUUUUGCAGGUACCGCAUGAAUAAGGACCGGCUAAUUCCGUG